rnacentral:rRNA from 1 species
UACGUAGGGUGCAAGCGUUGUCCGGAAUUAUUGGGCGUAAAGAGCUCGUAGGCGGUUUGUCGCGUCUGCUGUGAAAACGCGAGGCUCAACCUCGCGCCUGCAGUGGGUACGGGCAGACUAGAGUGCGGUAGGGGAGAUUGGAAUUCCUGGUGUAGCGGUGGAAUGCGCAGAUAUCAGGAGGAACACCGAUGGCGAAGGCAGAUCUCUGGGCCGUAACUGACGCUGAGAGCGAAAGCGUGGGGAGCGAACAGG